ensembl:lncRNA
CAGAAGGGAGGUCUCGUCCCACGGAGAACCGAUGUUCACAAAGUCAUGGAAUUGAAGAGGUUUUAAUAGUAAUGGUUGCUCGAAGUCGAUUAACUUUAUGGAUAUCGAGGAACGGCGAGUGUAACUGGAGACGGAGACUUUGUUCAGAGGCACCGAGCUUCCCACCACGUACUGUCCCAGACCUCCCCAGGAAUGGAAGAGUAGCUUGAUUUGGGGGUGGAAACCAGCUGCCAAAAAUAACCUGGACGUUUUUUUGUUUGUUUUUUAAAGCACUUCGUGAAUUGCCGUUUGUUGUAGAAAAGGUCUGUGAAGGCAGCUGGCAUGAUGGCUCUCCUGCUUGUGGUCUUGGGGGUUUUAGCAGCAGCCAGUCUGGCAGGUAAAGCCAGUGCGAGUGUCUUUGAAUGUGUGUGUGAUGGGCCGUCAUGUGGCAGUAGCAGCCACUGCUUUGGAGCGCAGUGCUUCUCCUCUCUCUCGCUCCGGAACGGGACAGUCCUCCACCAGAAGGGGUGCAUUGUGGGUACAGAGGAAGGGGCAGACCAGUGCGGAAGCUCCCUGCAGG